rnacentral:rRNA from 1 species
UACGGGGGGGGCAAGCGUUGUUCGGAAUUACUGGGCGUAAAGGGCUCGUAGGCGGCUAACUAAGUCAUACGUGAAAUCCCUCGGCUUAACCGGGGAACUGCGUCUGAUACUGGAUGGCUUGAGUUCGGGAGAGGGAAGCGGAAUUCCAGGUGUAGCGGUGAAAUGCGUAGAUAUCUGGAGGAACACCGGUGGCGAAGGCGGCGUCCUGGACCGAUACUGACGCUGAGGAGCGAAAGCGUGGGGAGCAAACAGG